rnacentral:rRNA from 1 species
AUGGCCGGGAUCCGGGGCGCGGCGGCCGCCGGCGCCCCCGUGGACAUGACGAGGCUGCUCGGCAGCUUCACCAACGACAUAGCGUGCCGCGCCGUGUCCGGGAAGUUCUUCCGGGAGGAAGGCCGGAACGAGCUGUUCCGGGAGGCGAUCGACGGGAACGUGGCCGCGUUUGGCGGGUUCAGCGUGCUGGACUACUUCCCGGGCCUGGCCAAGGUGGGCGUGCUCGCGCGACUGGUGUUUGCCAAGACCAAUCAGUUGAAGAGGAAAUGGGACGAGCUGCUCGAUAAGAUCAUCGACGACCAUGUCAGCAAAGCAUCGGCACAGGAGCAACACCCCGAGCACGAUCAGCAAGAAGAUCAAGAAGAGACAGACUUCGUUGAUGUGCUGCUCGAUCUUCAGGAGGGGUACAAUCUCACCAGAGAGCAUAUCAAGGCCAUAUUGAUGUGUGCUGAUGCUUCAGAUCGAACCCAUACACAAGACAUGUUUGUGGCAGGCACGGAUACGUCAUACAUAGUUCUCGAGUGUGCCAUGGCUGAGCUCAUGCGAAAGCCGAACCUCAUGACCAAACUUCAAGCCGAGGUGAGGCAAAAGACACCCAAGGGCCAACAAAUGGUGACCGAGGACGACUUGGGCAACAUGGCCUACCUAAAGGCCGUCGUGAAGGAGACGCUCCGGCUACACCCACCGCUGCCGCUCCUCCUCCCGCACCUCUCCAUGGCCGAAUGCGAUAUCGACGGUUAUAAAGUCUCCGCUGAAACUCGUGUGAUCGUAAACGCUUGGGCUCUUGGUAGAGACCCUGGAUCGUGGGAGGCUGCCGACGAGUUCAUGCCGGAGAGGUUUGUGGACAUCGUGUCCCUCGAUUUCAAAGGGAGGGAUUUUCAGUUUCUGCCAUUUGGAGCUGGGCGAAGGAUGUGUCCCGGGAUAAAUUUUGGGAUGGCGUCUGUGGAGAUCAUGCUCGCCAACCUUGUCUAUUGUUAUGAUUGGGAGCUCCCGGACGGCAUGCGGCAAGCGGGCCUGGAUAUGACUGAUGUGUUUGGCAUGACUAUGCGUCGGAAAGAGAAGUUAUUUCUUAUCCCGAGAAUGAGAUGUUAA